UGUUCAUGUAAAUAGACAAUUCCAAUUAUAGACUAAUUUUAUAAUUGGGCAAAGAGAUGCAAAUCAAGGCCGGAUUUUGGUGAAAAUAGUGGGGGAGGUGGAAAAAAAUUUUAGGGGAGGUGCAGCGGUCUAGCUCACAACCCCCAUGGAAAGUUAGGGCUUAUUGUAGAACAGGCCAAUAUGGGUGAGGUAUAUGCAUGUAGUGUACAUAUGUACCAGUGUAUUAAUGAAUUAUGACUGUAUGACUCCAAUCUUGCCCUUCAUUACAAUUGCGACAAAGUUUCUAUCAGAACAUUGCAUUAAAAGGGUACUUGACACAGAGAUGAAUGGCUAUCACUGUUUCAAUUUUACAGAGAAAACUUUCUUACGUCACAAAGUGUAGAUCCUAAGCAAUCAUCACAUUUUCACUUUGUUCCAUCAUUGAAACUUUCCCAAGGGGAGGUGCAUGACCUUUCAGGAGAGGUGGAAAAAUUCUCAGGGGAGGUGCAUGACCUUUCAGGGGAGGUGCAAAACAAUCUCAGGGGAGGUGCGCACCUCUGCACACCUCCCCUCAAAAUCCGGCCUUGAUGCAAAUAAAUCACCAUUGCUAGAAAGAGCAUACUAAAAUAAGUAAAUUAUUGCAAAAUUUGGUUGCAAAAUACGGAAAAUAUUGUUGUAAAAUACGGAAAAUAUAGCCAUGAUUGCAAAUUUUGUAUGCUUUUGUAUUGCAUACGAAAAUUGCAAUACAAAAGUAUACAAAAUUUGCAAACUUUGGAAGGCUAGAUUUUCUACAUUUUACAACAUUUCGCAACCAAACUUUGCAAUUUUACUUAUUUUUGUAUGCCCUUCCCGGGAAUAUACUUUUUUUGCUAAGAUAAAAAAAAUAGUCUAUGACGGGAAUAUCUAUUGGUCCCCAUUAUCUAUUUCUGUUUCUCUAAAUAAAGAGCUAGAGUUUUUGUUUCUCUAAAUGAAGAUAAAGAGCUAGAGGGGGAGGAGGGGGAACCAAAAUUUAUGUUCUUG
rnacentral:lncRNA from 1 species